rnacentral:lncRNA from 1 species
CACAGGACCAAGGGUGUGAGGGCAGAUUUGGGGCUGUGGACUGUCAUAUGACUAUACCCUGCUUUCAACCCAUCCUGAUUAUGGGUUCUGCGUAGGUACGUCCCGAGCAUGUCAAGGUGGUGCUCUGGGAGGAAACUGCACCCAUGCAUUCCAAGCACCAUCCCACAGCGUUUUGUACAUACGAUGCCCACCAUCAUGGGCUUAUUUGUGGUAUCUACAUUUAUUAAGCAUGCUGCCUAAACCAGUAUUGGAGACAUUAAGAACACUGGAAACUCCCAACCAAGUAAAGGCCAAAUCCCCCGAGGCAUUGCUGCGUCCUCCCCUGGUGGCAUGGUGCACGCACAACAACUCCUGGGCUACUCCUGCAGCAAGUUGUGAUAAAUGCACUCUACACAGUACCCAUAGUCUUCCUGUGACCUCUCUCUUCUCAGCGCACUCCCCCAGCAAAUGGCACUGCUAAUUACACCUGUUGCAGCCUGUUGUAGAAGCAGCACACACCCCAAAACAAUGAGUGGCCCCGCCAAGCUCCUUCCCCUGGAACCACACUCGGCAUCUCAGCAGCAAGCCGCGGGAGCUUUGAACUGUGUGCGAGAGCAUCUGUGCUUUAUCUCCAUUUAUUUUGUGCAUCCGUUAGCAAGAUGGGAAAGACACAUAAGCCAAGACUUGUGCUACAGGUGGGAAGGAUUGUCCGGAAGGGAGUGUGGUGAGGCCUGCCAGGUGUACGGGACUGCCUUCAUGGGAGGUGACCUUUGUGUGGAGGACGCUUUGCAUUUCUGGUACGGACAGUCUGCCUGCUGUUGCUUCUCUCCUCUACAAGUACACUAG